ACGCAUGUGCCGUAAACCCGGAUGUAAUAUUAUUAGCUACUGCAUCAGAAACAGUGGCUAAUAAUAAUAAUAAAAAAAAACCUAAAAUAGGUCAGCUUGCAUUCGCCACUUUUGUCUUUGCCUGGUCCUCAAAGCCCCAUACAUUUGGACUGACGUGCACAACUAUAGGAAAGGAUAUGUUGGACGUUAUAGCUACAUUUCAUUUUUCACAGUGGAAUACCUUAGUCGAUGAACGCCUUGAUCAGGGGAUUGUUUAGCUGCAAUAAGCCCUUUUUUGCAGUCAUUCUGUGAGCAGUAGAAUGGACUUUCAUGGUAAAAAGUAUGAACGUGGAAGCAACUGGUCCGAACCAGAGGUGGUGGAACUUUUACAGCUCUGGUCGGACGAAGCGGUGCAGAAUGAGCUGGAGAGCUGUCUCAGAAACCAGCACGUUUUCAACCGCAUAGCAGUUGCUUUGCAUGGACGAGGGAUCUACCGUACCGGAGACCAAUGUAGGGAGAAAAUAAAAAAACUGAAGCUGGAAUACCGUCGUAUCAAAGAAAAUCAAAAGACCCUACGCGGUGGGAGAGCAUGGAAAUUUUACGAGGUAAUAGAUCGCGUGUUAAGCAAUCGAGCCACCUCUUCCUCUUACUGUACCAUGUGGGGCAGUGCGUCCGUGCACCAGGUACCCCCGGGCUCCUCGAGUUCAGAGCCGUACUCGCACGGUAGUCCGCACGGCUCGGCCUUCGCGAAUGCCGCCGCAGGCACGUUCAUGUUCCACCGGCCACCCAACCCAGGCGAGCUCCUGGAGGUCAAGCGCGAAGACCUGACCGCGGACGAGGAGCUGCUGAGCUGCGCCCCGACGCCGCGGCCGGAGCUGCUGUAUCAGAUCGGCUCCGAGGAUGAGCACGACGCUGACAGCAAGUCGGCCGGACCCGACGCAGAGGAGUUCGGCGAGAUGGCGAGAGGGGGGGGCGCCGCUCACGCAGGGAGCUCCCCUUCAGCUUUCAGUGAGCAUAACGUGGCUGGCUCUUCCGGCACAGGCGUUUCCCCAGCAACAGCUGCCGUGGUGAACAGAGACAGAGGCAGCCACAGUGACACAGAGGAUCCUAAGGGUUCCGGGACGUUCCGUCAAAGGAAGCGGCGCCGGGCGGGGCGGGCUGGCAGGGGCGGAAUGGGAGGGAGCAGAUUGCUGGAGAGCGCGCUGGCGGGUUUCCUCAGCUGGCAGCGGGUAAUGGAAGAGAGGUACCUCUCUCUGGAGGAGGCCAGGCUUCAGCAGGAGGUGCGGGCCGAGGAGCGCAGGGAGCAGCAGGAGGAGAGGCGAGCCAAACAGGAGCGGGAGCACGAGCUGCGUCUCCUUUCCAUAUUCGCAGGGGCCCUGACAGCUGUCGGAGGCGGGACGAACCAGGACGGCGCCGUCCCCUGCACGGACGCCUCCGGGUCCCCUUCGGCUCCUGCUGAGGAGGAGCCGGAACCGGUGCCUGCCCCUGAGCAGGCCCCUUCUCCACAGCCGGCACAGCAUCCAUCUCCAGGCCUUUCCACGGUCACUCCGGCACCCGGGAUGCUGUGGGCCGAUCAGGCUCUCCAGCUCAGCGUUUACCUGUCCGGCCGAGGCAACAACAUCCGGCGGCACCAGGGUAUCCUGCAAGAGGGCUACACUCUGUACUACGCCAACCAGCAUGAUGAAAGCUGCAACCCUGGUGGUAUAAUUAAUAUGGGAACGAGUGAGAACAAGCUUUGCUUUGACCUACUGAAGGAACGGCUGGCCCAGCCUGACAUGCUACUCAUGGAACCAUGUCUCCUGCAGUACCCAGACUGGAAAGGACAUCGCUUCCUGAGAGAGGAAGUGGCCAAGUUCCUAUCAGAGCACUGCUGUCCUUCAAGCCCACUAGAUGCAGACAAUGUUGUUGUAAUGAACGGCUGUGGGUCUCUCUUCUGUGCUGUGGCAGCUGUGCUCUGUGAUCCUGAUGAUGCAAUCCUCAUCCCAACCCCAUUUUAUGGCGUGAUCACCGAGGAUGUUUCUUUGUACAGCGGUGUGAAACUCUAUCAUGUUCCUCUUGACAGUAAGCCUCUGGGAAAAGACAGACCAUUCCACCUCACUGCUGAGAAACUGGACCAAGCUCUUCAAAGGGCAAAACAUCAGGGAGUGAAUGUAAGGGCGCUUGUGUUGAUUAACCCCCACAAUCCUCUGGGAGAGAUCUACACUUCUGAAGAGAUGAACAGCUUUCUGAAGUUUGCCAAAGAGCAUGUACUGCAUGUUAUAGUGGAUGAGAUCUACAUGCUGUCCGUGUUUGGGGAGGAUAUCACUUUUCACAGUGUCCUCAGUUUGGACAGGCUGCCAGACCCUCAGAGAACUCAUGUUAUUUGGGGGCUUAGCAAGGACUUUGCCAUGGCCGGUGUGCGCGUGGGUGUGGUCUACUCUGAGAAUACGGAUCUGGUGCAGGCCCUGGAUCGUCUGGGCAACCUUCAUGGAGUGGGAGGACCUACACAGCACCAGGUGGCCCUGAUGCUGAGAGACCACGAGUGGGUGAAUGACGUGUUUCUGCCGGAGAACAGACGCAGGCUGCGCGAGGCACAUGGCUUUGUGUCCAGCCAGCUGACGAAGCUGGGCAUCCCUUACUUGCACAGGGGUGCUGGCUUCUUUAUCUGGGCUGACUUCAGCAAGUAUCUAAAGGAGCACAGUUUCACAGAGGAGCUACGUUUGUGGAGGUGCUUUCUGACGCACAGGGUUCUGCUAAGCUGUGGACAGGCCUUUAGCUGUUCCUCACCAGGCUGGUUCCGCAUCGUGUUCUCGGAUCAGCAGCGCCGCCUCCAGCUCGGCCUAGAGAGGAUCAGGGAGACUUUAGAGGAGCUCCAGGGCUCCAGCUCCAUGGCUGACUGCGAGGGCAGCGAAGGAGACGUAGGGGAGGGCUGCCGACCAACAGAGACGAUUACAGAAACAGAGGGAAAAAGCGAUGAGGACAAUACCAAAGACGCAACAAGUGAGCCCUUCAGUACGCCAACAAUAGUGCAUUGUGGAGGAACUGGAGCUGAGGCAAAAAGAUCAUCAUUGGCUGAUGAGGAUUUUGGGAUUUUCAACGGCCAAUCCUCUUCUAACUCUGAGAGCCUGGACUCCCUAAUUGGUGCUCUGCGACGACAGAUCCACUCCUCUAACUGGCUAGAGAAGAACAGGCCAGAAUUGGCUCCUGGAGAGGACCUGACACAAAUGAAUGUUUUUAAAGAUCUGUUGGACAGAGCCAGGAUGUAAUGGCACUUUGGAGUUCAGCAUUCCUCAGUGCCAAGGCCACUGGGUUUUUAGUUCUGUGUCUCCAUGGUGUACCUACGGUCCAGGUGUUGUCAGGACUGACAGGACGUACAACUUGUCAGGACGUACAACUUGUGUUUUGCCAAGGCUCCUCAGAGCAGCAUGUACAGUAGGCAGGGAAACUCCUUCAGAAUUUUACUCCAACUGAACUCAUCUUAAGGGCACAAUGAAAGGACCAGAGCUAGUGGAUUCGGCAAGCCGCUUUCGAUUCGUUGAAUCCUGCCUGGGCUUGGUGGGCUGCCUGUGUGUCAGCUAUGCUGUGUGGACAGAUGACUGGCUGGACAAGAGAGGACUGUGGGAGACCAGGACUGUUUCAAAUAAUACUAGCAGCUGGUCUGAGGAGCAGAUCAUUCAAGGUUGUUGGGCUCAGAGGGUUUUUUCUGCCCUCUCUUUCCUCAUGGCUGUAAGCUCUGGAAUUCUGUGCCUCGUGUUUGCCCUCUGCUGGACGUCUCAAACAGUGCACUCAUAUUCCAACAUGCGCUCCCUGCUGAUGUCAGGGCAGGGACUCUACCCCACCACCCUGCUCCUCAUCACCCUGACACCCACAGGAUUCUUUUUUCUCCUCAGCUGGGCACUCUUCAGCCAUGAGCAUGUCACUGACAUCCGUGAUGACAUCACACGCCUUGGCUCCUCCUACUGGCUAGGUGCCACGGGCUGGGCUCUGCUACUGGCCGUGGUGCCAGCUGUGUUCCUGGUGGAGCAGUGCAUGGUGACGGAUUCCCUGCCAGACACGAUGAGGGCAACCAACGGGUGGUGGAAUGCACCCUAGGUCGCGUACUCUUGCUCAUUCAUUGACAGCCGCCAUCUCGGGGGCAGACAUAAUGACAUGGGGAUCAGAAGGUUCAUGUCAGCUCUCUGAGUGGAACAACUGAGAGACGUGCUGUGUCAAAUGACUGCUACUGUUUCAGAACCUGGAACUCUCACAGCCAAUAGGAGGACUGAGUGGGUGUUUGGCAGCAGGCAGUCGAGGGAAACACUGCACUUAAGUAGCUGCGUACUUAAAAAGGUGCCACCUGGGAUGGUUCAUGAUGUACUGUUCCAGAAGCACUGUGGAUGGCUUAUUGCACUUUACAAAAGAACUGUCAAGGCCUAAAGGAGAACAUGAACAACAUUUUAUUUGGGAACCAACAUUAACAUACUUAUUUAUUAAAAAACAUUCUUAAUACUUAAUUAUGCCUAAGUUCAUAUAUUUCCCAUUUUUUCUGAAUCGCAUAGUGAAUGGUGAAAACUGAGUUGAUAAUUUUAAAACUACAUUUUGUAACUAAUACAGUACUCGGGUACAUUUAGAUUAGAAAGCCAUAGAUGUGUCAAAUAUUUGUAGUUUGGAUGGUAUUUGUAUGAUUUCAUGGGUAAGUUGAUCAGAUGAGGCAAGGCAUUAAACAGUGGCCUCGUCUGGUUGUUCUUGGGUAUAACAUUCAGUUUUACUGAGCGUAUGGUGAAUGCUACACACUAGUCCUAUUAUUAUUUACAUUAUUUUUUUUUUUUACUAAUAGAAUGGUUUAUGCUUUGUUUUUGUAUUGAUAAAACCAACUAAAUAAAGCAUCAUAGGUAGUUUUGCUAAACUACAUGA